rnacentral:rRNA from 1 species
UACGUAGGGUGCGAGCGUUGCCCGGAAUUAUUGGGCGUAAAGAGCUCGUAGGCGGCCUGUUGCGUCGGUUGUGAAAGCCCGGGGCUUAACCCCGGGUCUGCAGUCGAUACGGGCAGGCUAGAGUUCGGUAGGGGAGAUCGGAAUUCCUGGUGUAGCGGUGAAAUGCGCAGAUAUCAGGAGGAACACCGGUGGCGAAGGCGGAUCUCUGGGCCGAUACUGACGCUGAGGAGCGAAAGCGUGGGGAGCGAACAGG